rnacentral:tRNA from 1 species
GCCAAUGUGGCGCAACGGUAGCGCAUCUGAUUUGUAAUCAGGCGGUUGCAGGUUCAAAUCCUGUCAUUGGCUCCA